AUUGCACGCUGGCGGCAGGCCUAACACAUGCAAGUCGAGCGAGCGGCGGCCGGGUGAGUAAUGUAUGGGGACUGCCCGAUAGAGGGGGAUAACUACUGGAAACGGUAGCUAAUACCGCAUACUAUCGGCUAACCCAUCUGGGAUUAGCUAGUAGGUGGGGUAAAGGCUCACCUAGGCGACGAUCUCUAGCUGGUCUGAGAGGAUGAUCAGCCACACUGGGACUGGUGCACGGCCCCGACUCCUACGGAGGCAGCAGUGGGGACUAUUGCACAAUGGGCGCAAGCCGGAUGCAGUCAUGCCGCGUGUAUGAAGAAGGCCUUAGGGUUGUAAACCUCUUUCGCUAUCGAACGGGUAGGUGGAGAAGAAGCGCCGGCUAACUACGUGCCAGCAGCCGCGGUAAUAC
rnacentral:rRNA from 1 species